GACGAAGGGGGCUAGCGUUGUUCGGAAUUACUGGGCGUAAAGCGUGCGCAGGCGGUCUGUUAAGACCGAUGUGAAAUCCCCGGGCUUAACCUGGGAACUGCAUUGGUGACUGGCAGGCUUUGAGUGUGGCAGAGGGAGGUAGAAUUCCACGUGUAGCAGUGAAAUGCGUAGAGAUGUGGAGGAAUACCGAUGGCGAAGGCAGCCUCCUGGGCCAACACUGACGCUCAUGCACGAAAGCGUGGGGAGCAAACAGG
rnacentral:rRNA from 1 species